rnacentral:rRNA from 1 species
AGAGAGGUUCGAUCCUGGCUCAGAUUGAACGCUGGCGGGAUGCUUACAUGCAAGUCAGGCAACGCGCUACGGACUUCGGUCACGGUGGCGAGUGGCGAACGGGUGAGUAAUGUAUCGGAACGUGCCUAGUAGCGGGGGAUAACUACGCGAAAGCGUAGCUAAUACCGCAUACGCCCUUCAGGAAAGCGGAGACCUUCGGGCCUCGCACUAUUAGAGCGGCCGAUAUCGGAUUAGCUAGUUGGGUAGGUAACGGCUCGCAAGGCGACGAUCCGUAGCUGGUUUGAAGGGACGACAAGCACUGGGACUGAGACACAGCCCAGACUCCUACGGGGAGGCGGCGGUGGGGAAUUUUGGACAAUGGAAACCUGAUCCAGCCAUCCCGCGUGUGCGAUGAAACCUUCAGGUUUAGCAAAGCACUUUUGGCAGGAAAGAAACGGCACGGGAUAAUACCCCGUGCAACUGACGGUACCUGCAGAAUAAGCACCGGCUAACUACGUGCCAGCAGCCGCGGUAAUACGUAGGGCGCAAGCGUUAAUCGGAAUUACUGGAGGCGUAAAGCGUGCGCAGGCGGUUGGAAAGAGAAAGAUGUGAAAUCCAGAGCUUAACUUUUGAACUGCAUUUUUUUAACUACCGAGCUAGAGUGUGUCGAGGGAGGUGGAAUUCCGCGUGUAGCGAGUGAAAUGCGUAGAUAUGCGGAGGAACACCGAUGGCGAAGGCAGCCUCCUGGGAUAACACUGACGCUCAUGCACGAAAGCGUGGGAGCAAACAGGAUUAGAUGCCUGGUGGUCACGCCCUAAACGAUGUCAACCAGCUGUUGGGGCCUUCGGGCCUUGGUAGCGCAGCUAACAUGACAGAAGUUGACCGCCUGAGGAGGCCGGUAUAAGAUUAAAACUCAAGAUUGACAGGGACCCGCACAAGCGGUGGAUGAUCCAGAAAGCUGGAUUAAUUCGAUCCCAACGCGAAAACCGCCUACCUUGGCCAUGUCUCUGGAAUCCCCGAAGGGUUGGGAGUGCUCGCAAGAAAGGCAAGACACAGGUGCUGCAUGGCUAUAAACAAGCUUGAUGUCGUGAGAUGUUGGGUUAAGGUCACAACGAGCGCAACCCUUGUCAUUAGUUGCUACGAAAGGGGCGACAAUGAGAUGCCGGUGACAAACCAGGAGGAAGAUUGGGGAUGACGUCAAGUCCUCAUGGCCCUUAUGGGUAGGGCUUCACACAUCAUCACAAUGGUCGGGACAGAGGGUCGCCAACCCGCGAGGGAGCCAAUCGAAGGCGAUGUAGUCCGGAUACCGAGUCUGCCAACUCGACUGCGUGAAGUCGGAAUCGCUAAUCGUCGCGGAUCAGCAUGUCGCGGUGAAUACGUUCCCGGGUCUUAUACACACCGCCCGUCACACCAUGGGAGUGGGUUUUACCAGAAGUAGUUAGCCUAACCGUAAGGAGGGCGAUUACCACGGUAGGAUUCAUGACUGGGGUGAAGUCGUGGCACAAGGUAGCU